rnacentral:rRNA from 1 species
AGUGAACGCUGGCGGUAGGCCUAACACAUGCAAGUCGAACGGCAGCACAGUAAGAGCUUGCUCUUACGGGUGGCGAGUGGCGGACGGGUGAGGAAUACAUCGGAAUCUACUUUUUCGUGGGGGAUAACGUAGGGAAACUUACGCUAAUACCGCAUACGACCUACGGGUGAAAGCAGGGGAUCUUCGGACCUUGCGCGAUUGAAUGAGCCGAUGUCGGAUUAGCUAGUUGGCGGGGUAAAGGCCCACCAAGGCGACGAUCCGUAGCUGGUCUGAGAGGAUGAUCAGCCACACUGGAACUGAGACACGGUCCAGACUCCUACGGGAGGCAGCAGUGGGGAAUAUUGGACAAGGGGCGCAAGCCUGAUCCAGCCAUACCGCGUGGUGAAGAAGGCCUUCGGGUUGUAAAGCCCUUUUGUUGGGAAAGAAAAGCAGCAGGUUAAUACCCCGCUGUUCUGACGGUACCCAAAGAAUAAGCACCGGCUAACUUCGUG